rnacentral:rRNA from 1 species
GACUCUUGACAAUGGAUAUCUCGGCUCUCGCAUUUGAACGCAAGUUGCGCCCCAAGCCUUCUGGCCGAGGGCACGUCUGCCUGGGUGUCA